GGUGAGGUGUCCGAGUGGUCGAAGGAGCACGCCUGGAAAGUGUGUAUACGGCAACGUAUCGAGGGUUCGAAUCCCUCCCUCACCGCCA
rnacentral:tRNA from 2 species